rnacentral:sRNA from 1 species
GCUGGGUGCGGCGGUGCACACCUGUAAUCCCAGGGGCUCAGGAGGCUGAGGCAGGGGGAUCGAGAGUUCAAAGCCAGCCUCAGCAAUGGAGAGGAGCUAAGCAGCUCAGUGAGACCCUGUCUCUA